ACAAACAAGGCCGUUGCCAUGGUUAUUGCUUCACGAGGAGGCAUACUUCCGGGUAUUUAUACUAAUUUACAUAUGGAUUUAAGGGUGGCGACAGGGCGGAUCAGCAGCUGAGCUCUAUUUCCCGCAAAUUAAGAUUUAUAAAGGAAAGGUGUGCAUGUGAUGUGCACGGCUUUAUUCAUCCAGAUUUUUUUGUGCGCCGCACUUUGUCCGUACGCCAAGUUUUAGUGUGAAAACUGUGCACUCUUUUACAUGAGGCUCCUGGUCCGCAGAUUUUAAGCAGAUCAGACAACGGAGAUCAACUAAGAUCACUUAGUCACUUAUCUGUACCUAGAGCAGAACAGAGACUAUGUUGCUCUAAUUAAAGAAUGAAACUAAGGAACCCAAAACAACCCGAGAUCCUGCUGACACAUCCUCCAAAGUCGUGAGGAAAAUUAGCUGUGGUUUAGAAAAAAAUUAGAGAAUCCUGAAAAAAUUCUCCCACGGGAAGUCUAUUAUGUCACCAGUCUUGUUUACUUCCUGAAGGCAUUCCUCUCCUCGUUUCGUCUUUGAAUUUACUUUCGUUUCCUGUUGUUUCCAUUUGGAGGUGGAAAAAAGCACAACUUGUGGUAUUGGCUCCAAAUAAAGGUAAUGUAAUCAGUUCUUAAUGUUUGAUUCUGAAAUCAGCGCAUAACUGCAGAUACAUAGUUCCCGUCAAGAGUAAAGCGAGUUGUUCAGCAGAAGUUUGCAGGCUGCCCGUGGAGGGAGCCGAGGAGCCAGACUCUCCCCGCUGCCUAACCCCACGAAGGCGGCCUGAGACCGAGCGGAUACCCGCUGAUCGCCUCGUCUUGACAUUCACUCCAGAGCUCCACGACUAACUGCAGAUUGGCGUUAAAUGACACGUUUUUUCCCCGAUCUGCAUCAGUCAGUGUUUACUGCGGAACUGAACGUUCCAACAUAUCAAACUGAAGAUCUGAUGAGUUGAUGCUAAUUCAGCGCCAUGGAUCACCGGACGGAGGAAGAGAAGAACGAAUUUCAAGGAAAGUAUUUCAAGAGCGCUUCACUUGGAAAAAUACGUAAAGUGACAGCAGAGAUCCCAAGUGGUCAGAGAAUUAGUCUCUGGUCAGAGAAGUCACACAUUCAUUUUCAACGGAUACUGCCUACUUAUGAACAAAGGGUGGAAUUUUCUGGAGACCAUAAGUUGAGAGAGAAACUGACAAAGUGUAAGUGUCUUUAAAAUGGCUCACAUUCAACCAUCUCACAUUCAGGAGUCCUAAUCUAAUUCUGAAGGCAUAGUGCCCUCCACACUUCUGGGACCCAUGAAUACGUAGACUGCUCAUGGAGCGGGUCGGCCCGUUGCUGCGAUAUGUCACAGCGUCCGCCAUAUUGAAUGUGGCUUCUCUCCCAGUAAGCUAAUACAAGUGAAAGGACCAAACUUCACAAAGUGCCGUUCUUCAAAGUAUUUUAAGUUAAUACCUGUUAUUGACACAUUUUCUCACACACACAAAUAUAUUUGGUAAUCAAAGAAAUGA